CCCUGGCCAAAAGCCACCCCCCCAUUUGUACUAGAACAUGUGAACAAUAUAUAAUAUUUGAGUCUUUAAUGAGAAUACAUAAUAUAUAUGUAGGACAAAAAAGGUUACCCUUAAAAACAAGAAAGAAAAUGAUGGUCUGAAAGCCGCAAAAUGGAUCACAGAUUAAAUGGGUUUAAAAACAACAACAAAAAACCCCUAAUAAUAAUUUCAUGUAUUUAUUAACCCAGAUAAAGCCUGGGCUAUAUAAUUUUAUUCAGCCCGAUGGAUCUGAUACCUGUUUGAAAAUGCAUAAACACUGCUGAAGCAUCAUAUUGGAAUUUGACUUCUCAUCUGGUUGCUAGAAAAUAAUCGUCGGCAACUAGUUCAGACAUAAGUUGUGGAUUUCUACUGACACAUACUUCUGAGGUAAUAUUUUUACAAAUACCUAGCUUUGUUCCUUCUGAAGAAAUGCAUGUACUCUGUCAUUACCAGAUUACAAAUUGCCUUUGCACGACACAUCCCCAGAUAACAGGGGAGUGACUGUAGGCAUGGAGGACAUCAUCUAAGGCCUGGUUUGUGCUGUUCAUGGUACAUGCAGAAGAAAUUCAUGCUUAUUUAUGGUUAUUUAUGCAUUUCCAGAAGAAGAAGAAGAAGAAGAAGAAGAAGAAGAAGAAGAAGAAGAAGAAGAAGAAGAAGCAGCAGCAAGAAGUACAUCCUCACAACAGAGUUUUUCGGGCUAGAUAUACUGCAGUAUGAGAGGAGAAAGAAUGGAAUAACACACACACACCGCGAUUCCCUUUCCCCAAAAAAAGGCUGCAUUGGAAAAGAAAAUACUGUACCUCACAGAGGCUGAGAGAGGAACUGAGUACACAUUGGAUUGCCUCCUUAUUCGGGUACGAUUACAUACCUCGAUGUCACAACAGGAUGCUAACGAUGGAUGCCUCCUAUGUGAACUCAGCUGGACCAGAUAAUGAUCAGUCAAUUUUUGCAGUUCAAAGUUUCGACGCUUUGAAAUAGCAUCAUCCAGGCAAAGAUUUAUCAAAGCUUCUGCCAAGUGAAUGCCGCUGGAAAUUGUGCUUGACGUUGAUGUGCGUGUUCAAACAAGAUAGUAUUAAAUAAAAAUCCAGACACUA